rnacentral:ncRNA from 1 species
GUGGCGAAAUCCGAAAAGCCAACGAGUAGGAG